AAGAGGACGUGAAACCGAUGAGGUGGAAACGGACAGAGCUGGCGUAUCUGGCCUGCAUUCAGCCGCGCCCCGCUGGCGUCAGGGAUGCCGCUCUCCAGAUUGGGACGGUGGUCUGACUGCUCGGUGGGUUCCGUGGUGCAUUUGCAGGUGGAGUGCGCCGAGGCGCUCGGUGCAGCGGCAUGAGCUUGGCUUUGAGGCCAGCCUCGCAAGAGGUCUGGUACCCGGGUCAGGGGAGUGCUGUUUGCGCUGGGCGCAGCAAAGGGCAAUGGUCUCGGGCUCGUGUGGGUGCCGAGCUGGCGGUCGGCGUCGGUCGCGUGCGACACGUGCCAUCAGUCAGUUCGGUCCUGCUCGAGCUCACAUCUGCUCGACCUCGGUGUAAAAGCCGGUCAUCUGUCCGACCCGUCUUGAAACACGGACCAAGGAGUUUAGCGUGUGCGCGAGUCAUUGGGCGUUGAAAACCCAAAGGCGCAAUGAAAGUGAAUGCCUCCCUUGCGGAGCUGAUGUGUGAUCCUGGAUGCCUCGGCAUACUGGGCGCAACAUAGUCCCGUCCCGAUUGCUUGCAAUGGGGCGGAGACAGAGCGUACGCGCUGAGACCCGAAAGAUGGUGAACUAUUCCUGAGCAGGAUGAAGCCAGAGGAAACUCUGGUGGAAGUCCGAAGCGAUUCUGACGUGCAAAUCGAUCGUCUGACUUGGGUAUAGGGGCGAAAGACUAAUCGAACCAUCUAGUAGCUGGUUCCUUCCGA
rnacentral:rRNA from 1 species